rnacentral:rRNA from 1 species
ACGAGGGUGGACGAGGUGGUGCAUGGUUGUCGUCAGCUCGUGUCGUGAGAUGUUGGGUUAAGUCCCGCAACGAGCGCAACCCUCGACCUUAGUUGCCAGCAUUCAGUUGGGCACUCUAAGGUGACUGCCGGCUAAAAGUCGGAGGAAGGUGGGGAUGACGUCAAAUCAUCAUGCCCCUUAUGACCUGGGCUACACACGUGCUACAAUGGGCGGUACAAAGGGUCGCGAACCCGCGAGGGGGAGCCAAUCCCAAAAAGCCGCUCUCAGUUCGGAUUGCAGGCUGCAACUCGCCUGCAUGAAGCCGGAAUCGCUAGUAAUCGCGGAUCAGCAUGCCGCGGUGAAUACGUUCCCGGGCCUU